CCUUUGGUCCCUAUGCAGCACAGACCACGGCAUGUACAAGAUCUCGCAAGAGGAUUUGCAGACUCCAGCCAAGGAAAUGCAAUGUUGCUCCAAAGCCACAUGCAGUGCAAGCUCACACUAGUUGACACCAUCAUCCUGCUCUGCUCCGCGAAACCCCAAACGCGAGGCUCUUCUUCAAAACCUUCUCCCUAUGGAUGGCCCAGAUGGUGUCUGACAACGAGCAGCAACUUUCCUUCAUCCUUUUAUACAUGUGAAUCCCUGAAGGUGACUGGGAAAAUCAGAAGCUGCUGCCAGCAAGCACUUCCUAUGCAUAAUAAAGCACGGGAGGCAAGGAGGCUUUUUCUGUAAGCAUUGUCACGGAGUCCUCAGCACCGCUUGUGUGCAGCGGGCAGGAAAGCUGACAGCUCAGUGGCUCUGGAAAUAUUUUUCUUGAUUAGCAAUACAGAAAGUAUUUAUUGCUGGGCUGUGCCCAGUGCGGUGUGUCAGUGAGGACACACAAGGCUCUUGUUAGCUCUAGGCAGUUACCUGCCACAGGCAUCUGCUUCAUAAGCUGUUAAGAUGGAAUGCACGUUCAGCUCAGCUGCUACUGAGAAGGGGCAGAGACCUGGGCUGUCCACCCAGACACAGUUGCAGCAGUCCCAACUCUGAGGCAAUGUCAAGGCUCUCAUCAAGCACAAGCCAAAUACUGUGUGUUUUGUC